rnacentral:rRNA from 1 species
CACAUGCAAGUCGAGCGGAGACAGUGAGUAGCUUGCUAUGAGCUGUUUUAGCGGCGGACGGGUGAGUAACGCGUGAGCAACCUUUCCCAGACAGGGGAAUAACACACCGAAAGGUGUACUAAUACCGCAUAAGACCACGGGAUCACAUGGUUCUGGGGUAAAAGAUUUAUCGGUUUGGGGUGGGCUCGCGUCCGAUUAGGUAGUUGGUGAGGUAACGGCCCACCAAGCCGACGAUCGGUAGCCGACCUGAGAGGGUGAUCGGCCACAUUGGGACUGAGACACGGCCCAAACUCCUACGGGAGGCAGCAGUGGGGAAUAUUGGGCAAUGGGGGGAACCCUGACCCAGCAACGCCGCGUGGAGGAAGAAGGUUUUCGGAUCGUAAACUCCUGUCCUUGGAGACGAGUAGAAGACGGUAUCCAAGGAGGAAGCCCCGGCUAACUACGUGCCAGCAGCCGCGGUAAUACGUAGGGGGCAAGCGUUGUCCGGAAUAAUUGGGCGUAAAGGGCGCGUAGGCGGCUCGGUAAGUCUGGAGUGAAAGUCCUGCUUUUAAGGUGG